CUACGGGAGGCAGCAGUAGGAAUCUUCCACAAUGGACGAAAGUCUGAUGGAGAAACGCCGCGUGAGUGAAGAAGGUUUUCGGAUCGUAAAACUCUGUUGUUGGAGAAGAAUGUAUCUGAUAGUAACUGAUCAGGUAGUGACGGUAUCCAACCAGAAAGCCACGGCUAACUACGUGCCAGCAGCCGCGGUAAUACGUAGGUGGCAAGCGUUGUCCGGAUUUAUUGGGCGUAAAGCGAGCGCAGGCGGUUUCUUAAGUCUGAUGUGAAAGCCUUCGGCUCAACCGAAGAAGUGCAUCGGAAACUGGGAAACUUGAGUGCAGAAGAGGACAGUGGAACUCCAUGUGUAGCGGUGAAAUGCGUAGAUAUAUGGAAGAACACCAGUGGCGAAGGCGGCUGUCUGGUCUGUAACUGACGCUGAGGCUCGAAAGCAUGGGUAGCAAACAGGAUUAGAUACCCUGGUAGUCCAUGCCGUAAACGAUGAGUGCUAGGUGUUGGAGGGUUUCCGCCCUUCAGUGCCGCAGCUAACGCAUUAAGCACUCCGCCUGGGGAGUACGACCGCAAGGUUGAAACUCAAAGGAAUUGACGGGGGCCCGCACAAGCGGUGGAGCAUGUGGUUUAAUUCGAAGCAACGCGAAGAACCUUACCAGGUCUUGACAUCCUUUGACCACUCUAGAGAUAGAGCUUUCCCUUCGGGGACAAAGUGACAGGUGGUGCAUGGUUGUCGUCAGCUCGUGUCGUGAGAUGUUGGGUUAAGUCCCGCAACGAGCGCAACCCUUAUUACUAGUUGCCAGCAUUAAGUUGGGCACUCUAGUGAGACUGCCGGUGACAAACCGGAGGAAGGUGGGGACGACGUCAAAUCAUCAUGCCCCUUAUGACCUGGGCUACACACGUGCUACAAUGGAUGGUACAACGAGUUGCGAGACCGCGAGGUUUAGCUAAUCUCUUAAAACCAUUCUCAGUUCGGAUUGUAGGCUGCAACUCGCCUACAUGAAGCCGGAAUCGCUAGUAAUCGCGGAUCAGCAUGCCGCGGUGAAUACGUUCCCGGGCCUUGUACACACCGCCCGUCACACCAUGAGAGUUUGUAACACCCAAAGCCGGUGAGGUAACCCUUCGGGGAGCCAGCCGUCUAAG
rnacentral:rRNA from 1 species